AUUGAACGCUGGCGGCAGGCCUAACACAUGCAAGUCGAACGAGGGGCGGAAGGGUGAGUAAUGUCUGGGAAACUGCAUGAUGGAGGGGGAUAACUACUGGAAACGGUAGCUAAUACCGCAUACCAUCGGAUGUGCCCAGAUGGGAUUAGCUAGUAGGUGGGGUAAAGGCUCACCUAGGCGACGUUCCCUAGCUGGUCUGAGAGGAUGACUGGCCACUCGUGAACUUAGUCACGGUCCAGACUCGUACGGGUGGCAGCAGGGGGGAAUAUUGCCCAAUGGGGGCAAGCCUGAUGCAGCUAUGCAGCGUUUAUGAAGAAGGCAUUCGGUUUGUAAAGUACUUUCAGCGGGGAGGCGUUACCCGCAGAAGAAGCACCGGCUAACUCCGUGCCAGCAGCCGCGGUAAUU
rnacentral:rRNA from 1 species